rnacentral:rRNA from 1 species
AUUGAACGCUGGCGGCAGGCCUAACACAUGCAAGUCGAGCGGAUGAAGGGAGCUUGCUCCUGGAUUCAGCGGCGGACGGGUGAGUAAUGCCUAGGAAUCUGCCUGGUAGUGGGGGAUAACGUCCGGAAACGGGCGCUAAUACCGCAUACGUCCUGAGGGAGAAAGGGGGGGAUCUUCGGACCUCACGCUAUCAGAUGAGCCUAGGUCGGAUUAGCUAGUUGGUGGGGUAAAGGCCUACCAAGGCGACGAUCCGUAACUGGUCUGAGAGGAUGAUCAGUCACACUGGAACUGAGACACGGUCCAGACUCCUACGGGAGGCAGCAGUGGGGAAUAUUGGACAAUGGGCGAAAGCCUGAUCCAGCCAUGCCGCGUGUGUGAAGAAGGUCUUCGGAUUGUAAAGCACUUUAAGUUGGGAGGAAGGGCAGUAAGUUAAUACCUUGCUGUUUUGACGUUACCAACAGAAAAAGCACCGGCUAACUUCGUG